rnacentral:tRNA from 1 species
GCGGGGGUGCCCGAGCUAGGUCUAAGGGGCCGGACUUAAGAUCUCCCUACAGAUAGGGCAUCCGGUGGCCGUAGGGCCUUCCUGGGUUCGAGUCCCAGCCCCCGCA